rnacentral:misc_RNA from 1 species
AGUGCUCCACGGCCGAGUUGUUCAAAUACCAUAGAUAGAUGAAGAUGAUAACACAAUCUACCGAGAUUGAAUCAAUUAAUGUGGUGCAGAAAUACAUGUACAUGCACAUCAUAACGUGUCAUCUAACUUCAAGAGCUUUACUCUACCAAAGUCCAUUAAAAUAUCAUAGUUCUGAAAUUAUAUACUGUGGAAGCACAUAUUUUCGUUGGGUCAAAAUUUCGUUGUUUUUAAACCAAAUAAAAUUCUGUUGGCAUUUAAUUUUGUCAUAUCGUAAUUUCUUUGUAAUCAUUAAUACUAGGGUUAAAAAUUUGUCAUGGAUUUAAUUUCGUUGAUUUAUACUGCCAACAAAAAGAACGAAAUUAAAUCCUCAACGAAUAUUUCUGCUUCUACAGUACAUCAUAUUCUGAAUUUAAUAUGGUGAUUUGGCAUUUUUUGUAGAAGAAUUACUUAUAAUUGGUUGUUUGGGAAAUUUUUGAUUGCAUAUAUUUGAUACAUCAAUUUAUGCUCUUGUCUACAAGGGAAUAAUCAUGUUACUUUGACAGUCCCAUAUGCUUAAACAGCAUAUGGCACUCAGUGUGCAGUUAGCCAGUUCAGUUAAAUUGAACUUGUAUAUUAUUUGAAGAAUCAAAUUACCGGUUCUGACAUAUUCAACAGUGAUUUCAUGAAUAGAACAAAUUUAUUUGUUUUCUUGUAUGUUGUUACUUGGGCAUUCUAUGAGAAAAUUGUGAUGAUUGACAAUUAUUGAAACUCCUGCUGAACUUGUAUCGAACAUGUAGAGAUACAGCUGAAUAAUUAAUUACCUUACCAACAAGGACAUCUUGAGAUUGGUCAACAUUUUCAUUCAUGAUACCAAAAUUGCUGUAAAUGAGAAUAAGACUCAAUAUCUCAAGACUUUAAUGCACACCUUUUAAUGGAAUCAUGUUGUCAACUUUUUUGUAUUUAUUGGCAAAUUUGCUAGCACCGUUACAUGUGAUUGUAUUUACGUCAAUCAAAUUAAAAUAUUUUCUGUGAAAGUGCUGGUACAUAUUUGUACACCAAUUGUUGGUUACCGGUAAUCACUUGAUAUAAAAAAAAAAAAUUGAAUAAACCACUUGAAA